AUGCUCCCUGGAAUGGAUGAGGCAAUGAACAUGGUGUCAGAUACUGUUUUCCCGUUCAUCUCUGGAGCAAAGAUCUCAGAGUUCAAUGAGCUACUCAAUGGGCCAAGAUAAAAAUCUGUUCUCUACUCAGCAAAGAAGAGAGAUUUAAGGAUCAAACCUCUUCUUACAAGUAAUGCUGACAUGUCCAAGUUUAAACUCUCAGUGCCAAAUACAUCAGUGGACAUUGAGAUUGCUCAAUGGUGGGU
rnacentral:lncRNA from 1 species